ACGAAAAUAUAUUAAAAAAAAAUAAAAAAUCCGCGACCUGUUAAAACUAUUCGCGGGAAAACCAAAAGAGAAGAAAAAUCCGAACGCGCACAAAAUGGACGCCAUUUGCUGCAGAACAAAAAAAAUAAACACAAGUCGGAAAAGUGCAAUAAGUGCGCAGCGGCUUUCACCACGUCGAACUUUGCAACUUGCAUACGUCGUUUCAGCAAAUUAACGCAACGGAAACGAAAAAUAUGUAUAAUAAGAAGCCCACAUAAUGGCGCAUAAAUCAAGCGAAUCUCGUUAUGUUGGAGUAAAAAACAGCUGCCAAGGCGACUUCUUUAAAUAUUUUAAGUCGCAGAUGAAGUCAAAAGGCGAACGAAAGGAAAUACAUCCAUGCUUAAUAUCACAAAAAAGUAACAAUUUUAAUGAUCAAUUAAAACGUACCUUCAACAACCAUUGUUAAUUAACUUCCCUUUUCAAAUUCUGAUAAUUUGUUAAUACUGUAUUAUUCAAAUUUUAAUC
ensembl:ncRNA lncRNA:CR42844 long non-coding RNA:CR42844